GGGUGAUUAGCUCAGCUGGGAGAGCACCUCCCUUACAAGGAGGGGUUCGGCGGUUCGAUCCCGUCAUCACCCACCA
rnacentral:tRNA from 3 species